GGUGGAAUACGUCGAUCAUUAGAGCUGUCACUACCCUAAGGCUACCACAACAAUCCGCAGGAUUGGGUGCAAUUCCAGGUAAUUGCAAGACUAAACACCACGUCUAAUCUAUUAAUUACUACUCUAGCGUUAUAAAGACUAGAGCACAUGAUGCAAGCGGGAAUCCAAUAAAUAACUUGAAUGUAAAUAAAAGUAAUUAAAGAACUCAGGAAUUAUGAAUUGAAGAACCUGGAGAACGAUGAAGAACGAACCAGAUGCUGCAAAAGUAUAAUGUUG
rnacentral:lncRNA from 1 species